AUAUUCCGAAUAAAACGCAGUCAAACUUGUAACGCAAAUCCGAAAUCUUGACAUUCUUGACUAUAAUAUUUGUCUAAAAUACAUCAUAUUUUAUUUUCCUCCAAAUGCAAUGCAUAAUAAAAUCAAACAGUUGUGUUGCAUUUUAAAACACCUUUAGAAAUUUAUGUGCCACGGUUUAAACGGUGACAUUUUCAACCGGAAUAAUUCGAAGGGCUUUAUUUUUACUAUGGAUACUUUGAAUAAACGAUAACGUAACGAGGAUGAAUAGUAUAGUACUUAUUACUUAUAAGUGAAUUGCGAUUAAAAACAAUUUUUCUAGAUCGUUAAAUUAUUACACUCAGACAUCGGCUCAGAUA